GAUGAACGCUGGCGGCGUGCCUAAUACAUGCAAGUCGAGCGAACAGACGAGGAGCUUGCUCCUCUGACGUUAGCGGCGGGCGGGUGAGUAACACGUGGAUAACCUACCUAUAAGACUGGGAUAACUUCGGGAAACCGGAGCUAAUACCGGAUAAUAUAUUGAACCGCAUGGUUCAAUAGUGAAAGACGGUUUUGCUGUCACUUAUAGAUGGAUCCGCGCCGCAUUAGCUAGUUGGUAAGGUAACGGCUUACCAAGGCAACGAUGCGUAGCCGACCUGAGAGGGUGAUCGGCCACACUGGAACUGAGACACGGUCCAGACUCCUACGGGAGGCAGCAGUAGGGAAUCUUCCGCAAUGGGCGAAAGCCUGACGGAGCAACGCCGCGUGAGUGAUGAAGGUCUUCGGAUCGUAAAACUCUGUUAUUAGGGAAGAACAAAUGUGUAAGUAACUAUGCACGUCUUGACGGUACCUAAGCAGAAAGCCACGGCUAACUACGU
rnacentral:rRNA from 1 species